AACGAACGCUGGCGGCGCGCCUAAUACAUGCAAGUCGAGCGAGAAGGUGUAGCAAUACACUUGUAAAGCGGCGAACGGGUGAGGAAUGCAUGGGUAACCUACCCUCGAGUGGGGAAUAACUAGCCGAAAGGUUAGCUAAUACCGCAUACGUUUCCGGAACUUCGGUUUCGGAAAGAAAGCAAUACCGUGGGUAUUGCGCUCCUGGAUGGGCUCAUGUCCUAUCAGCUUGUUGGUGAGGUAACGGCUCACCAAGGCUUCGACGGGUAGCUGGUCUGAGAGGACGAUCAGCCACACUGGCACUGCGACACGGGCCAGACUCCUACGGGAGCAGCAGUAAGGAAUAUUGCGCAAUGGACGAAAGUCUGACGCAGCGACGCCGCGUGGGGGGAUGAAGGUCUUCGGAUUGUAAACCCCUUUCGGGAGGGAAGAUGGAGUGGGUAACCACUUGGACGGUACCUCCAGAAGCAGCCACGGCUAACUUCGUGCCAGCAGCCGCGGUAAU
rnacentral:rRNA from 1 species